ensembl:lncRNA
AGUCAUCCAAGUCCAGACGACUGUGACGGCUCGGGGUGCAGUGGAUGACUCUGACACCUUCGAUGUCUGGCCAAGCUCUGGGAACUCCACGGAGCUGCUUCAUCUGCCUUCCUGGCGAUGACAGGCUUUCAAAAACAGGAUGCUUUUAUCUGGGAGUCCCCUCCGUGGAACUCAAACCAACAACGUGGCCACUCCAUGAACUGAAACUGACCUGGCCAUGUUCAUAUCGGAAAUAUACAAAGCCGGUAGCCCCACCCCAACGCCUUCAUCCUUUUCUCCUACCCUCCGGGGUUAUGGCGAGCCUCAAAUGAGACAUCUGUCAGGCGCUCACCACACUGUUUGGCACAGAAACCUUAAGGGAAGAUAGAGAUUUUUUAAGCUAGACACAUCCACUACAUCUGAUUAUAUCUCACCCAGAAGCCUCCACUUCGCUUAUCAAAGAAAAUGCAUUUUCUCAGUCUCCAAAAUGAGAGCAUUUGGUUUAAUUUUAUUAUCCUUCUCAUUUCUAUUACUGUAGUCCCUCCGUAUAUUUCUCUAGUUCCAUUUAUUUUGCCCAGUUCUUAGAAGUCUUCCCAUAUUUCUCAGAAUACACAUUUUUCAUUGCUUGCAACAUAAGAGUUAGCAAUAAGGUUAAAGGAUCAAAUAUCUGAGCUCAUAGCUCCGGAUCUAGGAAGGACAAAAAGGACCUUUUCGACUAACCUCCUUACCUUAUUGAAGAAGAAACUGAGGGAGCAGUUAGAUGGCUCAGUAGAUAAGAGCACCAGACCUGGACCUGGUUCAAAUCUGCCCUCAGAUACUUCCUCCAUAUGUGACCCUGGGCAAGUCACUUAACCCCAUUUGCCUAGCCCUUUUCCUCCUGUCUUGUUGAGUUUGUUAAUAGGAUAAAAGAUAAGAGUGUCGUUUUUUGUUUUGUUUUGUUUUGUUUUAAGAGAAAACUAAGGUUUUUGGAGGUCAGAUGACUUGUCCAAGGUCACCAAAGUAUUAAAUGGUAGAGGUAGGAUUUGAAUCUAGCUCCUCUGACUAGCGUUCUUUCCACUGAACACACUGCCUCAAAGAAAUCUAGACCCAGAAUAGUUAAGCUGUUUGCCCAGUCAUAGAUAUAAAUUAUAUGAGUGACAGCUGAGAUGGGAACCCUGGUCCUCUGACUGCAUCCCUAGGCAUCUUUCCCCUCCUUCCCACUGUCUCCCAUCCAGGGAGUCCAAUAGUACUAAGAAGUCGUGGUUUUAAUCCCAGGAUCAACAUGAAAGUUUGUUGUUAUUCAGUCAUUUUUCAGUCAUGUGUGACUCUUUGUGAUGCCAUUUUUUGCUUUUUUGUUUUUGGCAGAGAACCUAGAGCAGUGUAUCAUUUCCUUCUCCAGCUCAUUUAAGAAAGGAAGAAAUGGAAGCAGAGUUAAUUGACUUGCCCAGGGUCACAUAGCUAGGAAGGGUCUGAGGCCAGAUUUGAACUCAGGAAAUGAGUCUUCCUGACUCCAGGAGGCUGGGCACUCUCUGCAGGAUGGCACCACCCAGCAGCCCCAAAAUGAAAGGACAGUAAGUCAACUAGUCAUCUUGGUCAUUGAGCAUUUAUUUGUAAAGUGUGGAGAAAAUCUUAUGGAUAGCUAUGCUCCAUAGAGUCACAAAGAGUUGGACAAGACCAAAUAAUAACAAUGAUCAUGAUUGUCAUAGUCAUUGUGUCCAUCAGACAGAGAGCCCCUUGGGAGCCAGGAUUGUUUUUCAUCUUUUUUGUAUUCCCGGUUCUUAGUUCAGGGCCUUGCACACAUUAAGCGCUAUGUACAAUAUUAAUUGAUUGACUAUGUAAGGUGCUGUCCUGGUUCUGCUUUUUUCAUUUUAAGUUAUUUCCUAGAAGUCUUCACACAUUUCUUUGUAUUCCUCAGUUACCAUUUUUAUAACCCAAUAACACUGCACUGCAUAUAUAUAUAUAUAUAUGUAUAUAUAUUUAUUUUAUUUUAUUUUUAAAAUAUUUUCCCAUGGUUAAAUGAUUCAUGUUGUCUCAAAAAUGGCACUCUAUUAAUAAGCCAAGGUUUGUUUGUUUUUUUAAACCCUUACCUUCCAUCUUGUAUUGGCUCCAAGGCAGAAGAGUGGUAAGGGCUAGGCAAUGGGUGUCAAAUGACUUGCCCAGGGUCACACAGCUGGGAAGUAUCUGAGGCCAGAUUUGAACCUAGGACUUCCCAUCUCUAGGGCUGGUUCUCAAUCCAUUGAGCCACCUAGCUGCCCCCACGCCAAGGUUUAAAGACUGGAUACAGAUAGGAAUUGGUACAGAUAGGUUCUCUUGCCUGUCCCACCCUGCAAUUCUAAUUAUAGCCUCAGGCGAUGGUCCUAGUAAUGGUGUCUAUGGGUAUGGCAGUUCAGUUUUCUAAUUUUGACAGCAUGUUGUCAGACUGUUCUCCAGGAUUGCACCAGUUCAUGGCUCCCCCAAGAACGUAAUACCAGUCUGGUUUAUUACAUUCUCUUUAUCUGAAUCUGAAUCUCUUCUGUCAUGUCCUGCAAAACUGGACAGCCAUACUCUGCUUGAAGACUUCCAGGGAUAGAGAACCCACCACCUCCUAAGCUGCUCAUUCCACUUUUAGAAAAACUUAAUGUAAGGGGGAUAAGUGGUAGGGUUGCUGUUUGGCCCAUGGAGGCUAUGUAUGCCCAAAUUUCUUCUCCUGGUCCUUCUCCAAGGGAGGUUCUGAUUCCUACCAGAAGGGAGCCAGAGGUUGGAAUAUCUGCUCUCCUGAGAAACUGGGGUACUGGGUUAGAAUUUGAUUGAUCUGCUCCCUUAAAUAGUUAUGCUAGGACAGCAUUGGUGAAGAUGUGGCACGCAUGCAGAGCCGGCAUUCGGGGAGCUGCUCUUUCCCUACUCUUCCCAUGGUGGGAAGACAUUUUCUACAUACCCCAACCCUAUAUCCAUUGGUCCAAAGCAAGCACUUUCUCCCUCAACUCUCUCUGAUAAUCUGGGGCUCCCAGACAGCUUGAAUUUGCCCUCUGGGCAUGAAGACUCUAGGGGAAAUCAUUUUUUAGGUUCAAGCUAAGCACCUGAUCACUAUCCCUUAAUAGGAAACAAGCACCCCAGUGGAUAUAUCCAAGGCUUGACUCCUUUCUCACCAGAUACAAGGUCUACCAUGACACACUUAGCAAAGGAGCCUAUUUGUCAACAUCAAUAGCAAAAAAAGAGAAGAUGGUACAAAGGAGAAUAUGUCUAACUCUUUGCCUCUGUCUAGUUAAGCAUCAGCCAGUCAACUAGCAUUUAAGAGCCCACUAAGUUUAAGGCACUGUCACAAGCUCCCUCAUUGGAAGGGAAGGUGAUAACUCACCUCAGGAAGAGGUGUUCCAGAUCUCCCCUAAGGAGAAAUUCCCCCAAAGUCUCCCACGUGGAGACAGAGACAUGAUAAGUAUUGCCAGUUCCUAAAUGUGGAUUCUUUUCUAUAGUCUUUUUCUCUCUUAUUCUUUGAAGGGCGGUUCAAAAGGCAUGUCUUCUCUCUUGAAACUGGCAGCCAGAAGAGCCCAGAUCUCUCUCCUUUCCAGCUUUCUCCAACUCUGCCUGACCACAAGUGGGAGGCACUAAGUAAUCAAUCUCCAUCAGCAAGGAGAAAACCUCAGACAAUUGGCCCUUUGGGCCCAAGGUUGCAUUAGUAAUUGGGCAGUUUUUCCUCAGAGGCGGUUGAAAUAUUCCUCUUUUCACUUUCCAUCUUGGGCUCCUGGUUCUGCUCCAAUAACAAGUCUAAUCCCUCUUCUCCGUGGCUCUGGUACGCUCUCACUUAACUGGCUUCUUGCCUCCAUCUAACUGGAAUUAGUCAAAUGGUCAGUUAACAUUGAAGUGCCCACCAAGUGCCAGGCUCUAGGAAUUCAACUGUCCCUCCUCUCAAUGAGCUCAAGUCAAAAAAGGGGGAGGGGAGACAACAAUGCAAGCAACUACUUACAAGCAACACAUGUACAGGAUAAGUGGGGGGUAAUCCUUGAGGGAAGGCACUAAGAUUAAGGGGGGCUGGCAAAGGCUUCUUGAAGAAGGCAUGACUUUAGCUGACACUUGAAGGGAGCCAGGGAAGCCAGGAGAUGGAGAUGGGGAAGGAGAAUUCCAGAUAUGGGGAUCAGCCAGUAAAAACAUUCAGAGUUGAGAGAACCCGGGUUUGGGGUUACAGCAAAGAGGCCAGUGUCACUGAUAAUAUUGUCACAAAAUAUUGGGGGUACAGGUUAUGAAGAGCUAUAAAAGCCAACAGACUUUAUAGUUCAUUUUCAAAGUAAUGGGGAACCACUGGAAUUUAUUGAAUUGGGGGACUGUCUUGUGUUUUUAGGGUGAUCAGUUUGCUUUUUUUAAACCCUUACCUUCCGAGUUGGAGUCAAUACUGUGUAUUGGCUCCAAGGCAGAAGAGUGGAAAGGGCUAGACAAUGGGGGUCAAGUGACUUGCCCAGGGUCACACAGCUGGGAAGUGGCUGAGGCCAGAUUUGAACCUAGAACCUCUGGUCUCUAGGCCUGGAUCUCAAUCCACUGAGCCACCCAGCUGCCCCCUAGGGCGAUCAGUUUUGAUAGCUGAGUAGACCUCAGGUAGGGAGACCAAAUGGAAAGCUAUUGCAAGAGGCCAACAGAAAGGUGCUGAUGGCCUGCAUGAAGGUGGUGGGAGUGUUGGAGGAGAGAAGGGGACAUCUAGGAGAGAAGUUAUGAAGAAAGACAAUAGGAUUUGACUGGCAAUUGGAUAUGGGGGCAGUGAGAGAGAGAGAGAAGAGUUGAAGAUGGCACUCUGAUUGGGAGCCAAAGUGACUGGAGGAUGGAGGUGCUCUCAAUAGUAAUAGGGAAGUUAAGAAGAGGGGAAGGUUUGGUGAGGAAGAUUGGGAAUUUUAAUAUCUGGAACUUCCCUCUGAGGUUACCUACCAGCUCCUCUUAUAAGCAGUUGGGCUCACAAGUCUUCAAAAUAUAAAAAAUUGCUUCAUUUAAAAAUUAAAGGCCAAAAAUAAAAUAAAUACCCAAAAAUGGAAUUAAAGGCCA